rnacentral:rRNA from 1 species
CUGAAACCGUGUACGUACAAGCAGUGGGAGCACAGAGCAAUCUGUGUGACUGCGUACCUUUUGUAUAAUGGGUCAGCGACUUAUAUUCUGUAGCAAGGUUAACCGAAUAGGGGAGCCGAAGGGAAACCGAGUCUUAACUGGGCGUUAAGUUGCAGGGUAUAGACCCGAAACCCGGUGAUCUAGCCAUGGGCAGGUUGAAGGUUGGGUAACACUAACUGGAGGACCGAACCGACUAAUGUUGAAAAAUUAGCGGAUGACUUGUGGCUGGGGGUGAAAGGCCAAUCAAACCGGGAGAUAGCUGGUUCUCCCCGAAAGCUAUUUAGGUAGCGCCUCGUGAAUUCAUCUCCGGGGGUAGAGCACUGUUUCGGCAAGGGGGUCAUCCCGACUUACCAACCCGAUGCAAACUGCGAAUACCGGAGAAUGUUAUCACGGGAGACACACGGCGGGUGCUAACGUCCGUCGUGAAGAGGGAAACAACCCAGACCGCCAGCUAAGGUCCCAAAGUCAUGGUUAAGUGGGAAACGAUGUGGGAAGGCCCAGACAGCCAGGAUGUUGGCUUAGAAGCAGCCAUCAUUUAAAGAAAGCGUAAUAGCUCACUGGUCGAGUCGGCCUGCGCGGAAGAUGUAACGGGGCUAAACCAUGCAC